UUAGAGUUUGAUCAUGGCUCAGAUUGAACGCUGGCGGCAUGCCUUACACAUGCAAGUCGAACGGCAGCGCGGGGCAACCUGGCGGCGAGUGGCGAACGGGUGAGUAAAAUAUCGGAACGUACCCUGGAGUGGGGGAUAACGUAGCGAAAGUUACGCUAAUACCGCAUACGAUCUAAGGAUGAAAGUGGGGGAUCGCAAGACCUCAUGCUCCUGGAGCGGCCGAUAUCUGAUUAGCUAGUUGGUGGGGUAAAGGCCUACCAAGGCAUCGAUCAGUAGCUGGUCUGAGAGGACGACCAGCCACACUGGAACUGAGACACGGUCCAGACUCCUACGGGAGGCAGCAGUGGGGAAUUUUGGACAAUGGGCGCAAGCCUGAUCCAGCAAUGCCGCGUGAGUGAAGAAGGCCUUCGGGUUGUAAAGCUCUUUUGUCAGGGAAGAAACGGUGAGGGCUAAUAUCCCUUGCUAAUGACGGUACCUGAAGAAUAAGCACCGGCUAACUACGUGCCAGCAGCCGCGGUAAUAUCGC
rnacentral:rRNA from 1 species